UGCAGUCUGGUCAAAUUCAGUGCAUCCUCCUCAAUGGACUGUACUGGCCACACGGCUGCCAAAGCGACGACAUGGUCCAUGGGCCCUGGGUUUUAAUCAAGUGGAUACUGGGGAUAAAUAAUGGCUAUGUACAGAC